AGCAGACAUAGGGAUUAGAAUAAAUAGAAAGUCAUGUUAGAAUGUUAGAUACACAGCAUUUGACUUCAUCCUAAUUCUAUUAGACUGUUGGGUGCUAAAAUAUGCCCUUCUCCAUUCUGUAGACCAUCAUCACACUAACUUUCCUAGAGCGCCAAUCUCACAUGUGAAGGAAAAUUGCAGUCAGUACUCUAACCUUUGUUAAAAUAGAGAUCACAGACUGAUGGAACAGACUCUUUGUGGCAAUAAGAUACCAAAUUAUAAACGAGGCCUAAGGAAACACAGGCAACGGUUAAGUCGUACACCCCCUACAUUUAAAGAAUAAACUAUGUUCUAACUGCUACGACUUUUUUUGUUCUGUUUUUUUCUUUUUCUGUAGCAGCUAAACAAACACUGACCUUGGGACAAGCAAUAUUGAAACAAUUGCAGCUCCCCGACCACCAGACGCUGACUAACUGAUGCCCCUCACCCCCAACAGCAUUCCUAACUGUAGCUAUGAUUGGACAGGAGACUGAUCUCAAUAUCUUUCUCCUGAGAAACAUCAGUGAGGCUGUUUUGAAAGAGAAACACAGCGAUCCCUAUGGACUUUCAGAAUAUGCAAGCGGAACACGCAGUCCUCUCCGCACAGCUCUGCCACUGCACCACAUGUGGAAACUGUCACCUUCUUUAUCAUGCCCUACUUGCAUAGAUGUCAUAUUAGAAUUUUUUUUUUCCACUUUACUGUCCCUAAUAUACUAAUCCCUCACCUUGCCACUAACAGCCUCUACUUCCUGAAUUUUGUACUUAUGUCUCUGUUGGCAUCGGUGAAGGGAACCCUUAAGGAACACGUUCCUACUUCUGAAUCAAGACUUGAGGCAGCUUUACUUUUAGUUUUUCUUAGAACAUCAACUACACAGUAUUAUUGCUACAAUACUGCCACCAGGUGAAAG